rnacentral:rRNA from 2 species
AGAGUUUGAUCAUGGCUCAGAUUGAACGCUGGCGGCAGGCCUAACACAUGCAAGUCGAGCGGUAGCACAGAGAGCUUGCUCUCGGGUGACGAGCGGCGGACGGGUGAGUAAUGUCUGGGAAACUGCCUGAUGGAGGGGGAUAACUACUGGAAACGGUAGCUAAUACCGCAUAAUGUCGCAAGACCAAAGUGGGGGACCUUCGGGCCUCAUGCCAUCAGAUGUGCCCAGAUGGGAUUAGCUAGUAGGUGGGGUAACGGCUCACCUAGGCGACGAUCCCUAGCUGGUCUGAGAGGAUGACCAGCCACACUGGAACUGAGACACGGUCCAGACUCCUACGGGAGGCAGCAGUGGGGAAUAUUGCACAAUGGGCGCAAGCCUGAUGCAGCCAUGCCGCGUGUGUGAAGAAGGCCUUCGGGUUGUAAAGCACUUUCAGCGGGGAGGAAGGCGGUGAGGUUAAUAACCUCACCGAUUGACGUUACCCGCAGAAGAAGCACCGGCUAACUCCGUGCCAGCAGCCGCGGUAAUACGGAGGGUGCAAGCGUUAAUCGGAAUUACUGGGCGUAAAGCGCACGCAGGCGGUCUGUCAAGUCGGAUGUGAAAUCCCCGGGCUCAACCUGGGAACUGCAUUCGAAACUGGCAGGCUAGAGUCUUGUAGAGGGGGGUAGAAUUCCAGGUGUAGCGGUGAAAUGCGUAGAGAUCUGGAGGAAUACCGGUGGCGAAGGCGGCCCCCUGGACAAAGACUGACGCUCAGGUGCGAAAGCGUGGGGAGCAAACAGGAUUAGAUACCCUGGUAGUCCACGCUGUAAACGAUGUCGAUUUGGAGGUUGUGCCCUUGAGGCGUGGCUUCCGGAGCUAACGCGUUAAAUCGACCGCCUGGGGAGUACGGCCGCAAGGUUAAAACUCAAAUGAAUUGACGGGGGCCCGCACAAGCGGUGGAGCAUGUGGUUUAAUUCGAUGCAACGCGAAGAACCUUACCUGGUCUUGACAUCCACAGAACUUAGCAGAGAUGCUUUGGUGCCUUCGGGAACUGUGAGACAGGUGCUGCAUGGCUGUCGUCAGCUCGUGUUGUGAAAUGUUGGGUUAAGUCCCGCAACGAGCGCAACCCUUAUCCUUUGUUGCCAGCGGUUAGGCCGGGAACUCAAAGGAGACUGCCAGUGAUAAACUGGAGGAAGGUGGGGAUGACGUCAAGUCAUCAUGGCCCUUACGACCAGGGCUACACACGUGCUACAAUGGCAUAUACAAAGAGAAGCGACCUCGCGAGAGCAAGCGGACCUCAUAAAGUAUGUCGUAGUCCGGAUUGGAGUCUGCAACUCGACUCCAUGAAGUCGGAAUCGCUAGUAAUCGUAGAUCAGAAUGCUACGGUGAAUACGUUCCCGGGCCUUGUACACACCGCCCGUCACACCAUGGGAGUGGGUUGCAAAAGAAGUAGGUAGCUUAACCUUCGGGAGGGCGCUUACCACUUUGUGAUUCAUGACUGGGGUGAAGUCGUAACAAGGUAACCGUAGGGGAACCUGCGGUUGGAUCACCU